UGAACCUUCGGGGAACGAUAACGGCGUCGAGCGGCGGACGGGUGAGUAAUGCCUAGGAAAUUGCCCUGAUGUGGGGGAUAACCAUUGGAAACGAUGGCUAAUACCGCAUAAUGCCUACGGGCCAAAGAGGGGGACCUUCGGGCCUCUCGCGUCAGGAUAUGCCUAGGUGGGAUUAGCUAGUUGGUGAGGUAAUGGCUCACCAAGGCGACGAUCCCUAGCUGGUCUGAGAGGAUGAUCAGCCACACUGGAACUGAGACACGGUCCAGACUCCUACGGGAGGCAGCAGUGGGGAAUAUUGCACAAUGGGCGCAAGCCUGAUGCAGCCAUGCCGCGUGUGUGAAGAAGGCCUUCGGGUUGUAAAGCACUUUCAGUCGUGAGGAAGGUGGUGUAGUUAAUAGCUGCAUUAUUUGACGUUAGCGACAGAAGAAGCACCGGCUAACUCCGUGCCAGCAGCCGCGGUAAUACGGAGGGUGCGAGCGUUAAUCGGAAUUACUGGGCGUAAAGCGCAUGCAGGUGGUUUGUUAAGUCAGAUGUGAAAGCCCGGGGCUCAACCUCGGAAUAGCAUUUGAAACUGGCAGACUAGAGUACUGUAGAGGGGGGUAGAAUUUCAGGUGUAGCGGUGAAAUGCGUAGAGAUCUGAAGGAAUACCGGUGGCGAAGGCGGCCCCCUGGACAGAUACUGACACUCAGAUGCGAAAGCGUGGGGAGCAAACAGGAUUAGAUACCCUGGUAGUCCACGCCGUAAACGAUGUCUACUUGGAGGUUGUGGCCUUGAGCCGUGGCUUUCGGAGCUAACGCGUUAAGUAGACCGCCUGGGGAGUACGGUCGCAAGAUUAAAACUCAAAUGAAUUGACGGGGGCCCGCACAAGCGGUGGAGCAUGUGGUUUAAUUCGAUGCAACGCGAAGAACCUUACCUACUCUUGACAUCCAGAGAACUUUCCAGAGAUGGAUUGGUGCCUUCGGGAACUCUGAGACAGGUGCUGCAUGGCUGUCGUCAGCUCGUGUUGUGAAAUGUUGGGUUAAGUCCCGCAACGAGCGCAACCCUUAUCCUUGUUUGCCAGCGAGUAAUGUCGGGAACUCCAGGGAGACUGCCGGUGAUAAACCGGAGGAAGGUGGGGACGACGUCAAGUCAUCAUGGCCCUUACGAGUAGGGCUACACACGUGCUACAAUGGCGCAUACAGAGGGCAGCAAGCUAGCGAUAGUGAGCGAAUCCCAAAAAGUGCGUCGUAGUCCGGAUUGGAGUCUGCAACUCGACUCCAUGAAGUCGGAAUCGCUAGUAAUCGUGGAUCAGAAUGCCACGGUGAAUACGUUCCCGGGCCUUGUACACACCGCCCGUCACACCAUGGGAGUGGGCUGCAAA
rnacentral:rRNA from 1 species